CAAGUACUCCCUCCAUCCGGAAUUACUUGUCAUCAAAAUGGAUGUGUCUAGAACUAAAAUACAUCUAGAUACAUCCAUUUCAAUGACAAGUAUUUCCUAAUGGAGGGAGUACAAG
rfam:Triticum aestivum genome assembly, contig: Triticum_aestivum_CS42_TGACv1_scaffold_591847_7BS